rnacentral:rRNA from 1 species
CUACGGGCGGCUGCAGUGGGGAAUAUUGGACAAUGGGGGCAACCCUGAUCCAGCAGUGCCGCGUGUGUGAAGAAGGCCUGCGGGUUGUAAAGCACUUUCAAUAGGGAGGAAAAGCUUUGGGUUAAUACCCCGAAGUCUUGACGUUACCUUUAGAAGAAGCACCGGCUAACUCUGUGCCAGCAGCCGCGGUAAUACAGAGGGUGCGAGCGUUAAUCGGAAUUACUGGGCGUAAAGCGCGCGUAGGCGGUUUGAUAAGUCAGAUGUGAAAGCCCCGGGCUUAACCUAGGAACUGCAUUUGAUACUGUCAAACUAGAGUAUGGUAGAGGGUAGUAGAAUUCCUGGUGUAGCGGUGAAAUGCGUAGAUAUCAGGAGGAAUACCAGUGGCGAAGGCGGCUACCUAGACCAAUACUGACGCUGAGGUGCGAAAGCGUGGGGAGCAAACAGGAUUAGAUACCCCUGUAGUC